rnacentral:rRNA from 1 species
GGGUUGUGAGGUUAAGCGACUAAGCGUACACGGUGGAUGCCCUGGCAGUCAGAGGCGAUGAAGGACGUGCUAAUCUGCGAUAAGCGUCGGUAAGGUGAUAUGAACCGUUAUAACCGGCGAUUUCCGAAUGGGGAAACCCAGUGUGUUUCGACACACUAUCAUUAACUGAAUCCAUAGGUUAAUGAGGCGAACCGGGGGAACUGAAACAUCUAAGUACCCCGAGGAAAAGAAAUCAACCGAGAUUCCCCCAGUAGCGGCGAGCGAACGGGGAGCAGCCCAGAGCCUGAAUCAGUGUGUGUGUUAGUGGAAGCGUCUGGAAAGGCGCGCGAUACAGGGUGACAGCCCCGUACACAAAAAUGCACAUGCUGUGAGCUCGAUGAGUAGGGCGGGACACGUGGUAUCCUGUCUGAAUAUGGGGGGACCAUCCUCCAAGGCUAAAUACUCCUGACUGACCGAUAGUGAACCAGUACCGUGAGGGAAAGGCGAAAAGAACCCCGGCGAGGGGAGUGAAAAAGAACCUGAAACCGUGUACGUACAAGCAGUGGGAGCACAGAGCAAUCUGUGUGACUGCGUACCUUUUGUAUAAUGGGUCAGCGACUUAUAUUCUGUAGCAAGGUUAACCGAAUAGGGGAGCCGAAGGGAAACCGAGUCUUAACUGGGCGUUAAGUUGCAGGGUAUAGACCCGAAACCCGGUGAUCUAGCCAUGGGCAGGUUGAAGGUUGGGUAACACUAACUGGAGGACCGAACCGACUAAUGUUGAAAAAUUAGCGGAUGACUUGUGGCUGGGGGUGAAAGGCCAAUCAAACCGGGAGAUAGCUGGUUCUCCCCGAAAGCUAUUUAGGUAGCGCCUCGUGAAUUCAUCUCCGGGGGUAGAGCACUGUUUCGGCAAGGGGGUCAUCCCGACUUACCAACCCGAUGCAAACUGCGAAUACCGGAGAAUGUUAUCACGGGAGACACACGGCGGGUGCUAACGUCCGUCGUGAAGAGGGAAACAACCCAGACCGCCAGCUAAGGUCCCAAAGUCAUGGUUAAGUGGGAAACGAUGUGGGAAGGCCCAGACAGCCAGGAUGUUGGCUUAGAAGCAGCCAUCAUUUAAAGAAAGCGUAAUAGCUCACUGGUCGAGUCGGCCUGCGCGGAAGAUGUAACGGGGCUAAACCAUGCACCGAAGCUGCGGCAGCGACGCUUAUGCGUUGUUGGGUAGGGGAGCGUUCUGUAAGCCUGCGAAGGUGUGCUGUGAGGCAUGCUGGAGGUAUCAGAAGUGCGAAUGCUGACAUAAGUAACGAUAAAGCGGGUGAAAAGCCCGCUCGCCGGAAGACCAAGGGUUCCUGUCCAACGUUAAUCGGGGCAGGGUGAGUCGACCCCUAAGGCGAGGCCGAAAGGCGUAGUCGAUGGGAAACAGGUUAAUAUUCCUGUACUUGGUGUUACUGCGAAGGGGGGACGGAGAAGGCUAUGUUGGCCGGGCGACGGUUGUCCCGGUUUAAGCGUGUAGGCUGGUUUUCCAGGCAAAUCCGGAAAACUAAGGCUGAGGCGUGAUGACGAGGCACUACGGUGCUGAAGCAACAAAUGCCCUGCUUCCAGGAAAAGCCUCUAAGCAUCAGGUAACAUCAAAUCGUACCCCAAACCGACACAGGUGGUCAGGUAGAGAAUACCAAGGCGCUUGAGAGAACUCGGGUGAAGGAACUAGGCAAAAUGGUGCCGUAACUUCGGGAGAAGGCACGCUGAUAUGUAGGUGAAGCGACUUGCUCGUGGAGCUGAAAUCAGUCGAAGAUACCAGCUGGCUGCAACUGUUUAUUAAAAACACAGCACUGUGCAAACACGAAAGUGGACGUAUACGGUGUGACGCCUGCCCGGUGCCGGAAGGUUAAUUGAUGGGGUUAGCGCAAGCGAAGCUCUUGAUCGAAGCCCCGGUAAACGGCGGCCGUAACUAUAACGGUCCUAAGGUAGCGAAAUUCCUUGUCGGGUAAGUUCCGACCUGCACGAAUGGCGUAAUGAUGGCCAGGCUGUCUCCACCCGAGACUCAGUGAAAUUGAACUCGCUGUGAAGAUGCAGUGUACCCGCGGCAAGACGGAAAGACCCCGUGAACCUUUACUAUAGCUUGACACUGAACAUUGAGCCUUGAUGUGUAGGAUAGGUGGGAGGCUUUGAAGUGUGGACGCCAGUCUGCAUGGAGCCGACCUUGAAAUACCACCCUUUAAUGUUUGAUGUUCUAACGUUGACCCGUAAUCCGGGUUGCGGACAGUGUCUGGUGGGUAGUUUGACUGGGGCGGUCUCCUCCUAAAGAGUAACGGAGGAGCACGAAGGUUGGCUAAUCCUGGUCGGACAUCAGGAGGUUAGUGCAAUGGCAUAAGCCAGCUUGACUGCGAGCGUGACGGCGCGAGCAGGUGCGAAAGCAGGUCAUAGUGAUCCGGUGGUUCUGAAUGGAAGGGCCAUCGCUCAACGGAUAAAAGGUACUCCGGGGAUAACAGGCUGAUACCGCCCAAGAGUUCAUAUCGACGGCGGUGUUUGGCACCUCGAUGUCGGCUCAUCACAUCCUGGGGCUGAAGUAGGUCCCAAGGGUAUGGCUGUUCGCCAUUUAAAGUGGUACGCGAGCUGGGUUUAGAACGUCGUGAGACAGUUCGGUCCCUAUCUGCCGUGGGCGCUGGAGAACUGAGGGGGCUGCUCCUAGUACGAGAGGACCGGAGUGGACGCAUCACUGGUGUUCGGGUUGUCAUGCCAAUGGCACUGCCCGGUAGCUAAAUGCGGAAGAGAUAAGUGCUGAAAGCAUCUAAGCACGAAACUUGCCCGAGAUGAGUUCUCCCUGACUCCUUGAGAGUCCUGAAGGAACGUUGAAGACGACGACGUUGAUAGGCCGGGUGUGUAAGCGCAGCGAUGCGUUGAGCUAACCGGUACUAAUGAACCGUGAGGCUUAACCUUACAACGCCGAAGGUGUUU